rnacentral:rRNA from 1 species
UACGGAGGGAGCUAGCGUUGUUCGGAAUUACUGGGCGUAAAGCGCGCGUAGGCGGCUUUGUAAGUUAGAGGUGAAAGCCCGGGGCUCAACUCCGGAACUGCCUUUAAGACUGCAUCGCUUGAAUCCGGGAGAGGUGAGUGGAAUUCCGAGUGUAGAGGUGAAAUUCGUAGAUAUUCGGAAGAACACCAGUGGCGAAGGCAGGUCUCUGGGCUGACACUGACGCUCAUGCACGAAAGCGUGGGGAGCAAACAGG